rnacentral:rRNA from 1 species
AGUGAACGCUGGCGGCAGGCCUAACACAUGCAAGUCGAGCGGAAGAAGGGAGCGUGCUCCUGGAUUCGGCUGGGGACGGGCGGGUGAGGCAUAGGAAUAUGCCUGUUAGUGGGGGCUAAGGUCAGAACGCGGGCGCUAAUACCGCAUACGUCCUGAGGGCGAAAGGGGGGGAUCUUCGGACCUCACGCUAUUAGAUGAGCCUAGGUCGGAUUAGCUAGUUGGUGGGGUAAAGGCCUACCAAGGCGACGAUCCGUAACUGGUCUGAGAGGAUGAUCGGCCACACUGGAACUGAGACACGGUCCAGACUCCUACGGGAGGCAGCAGUGGGGAAUAUUGGACAAUGGGCGAAAGCCUGAUCCAGCCAUGCCGCGUGUGUGAAGAAGGUCUUCGGAUUGUAAAGCACUUUUAGUUGGGAAGAAGGGCAGUAAGUUAAUACCUUGCUGUUUUGACGGUACCAAAAGAAUAAGCACCGGCUAACUUCGUG